UCGUUACGAAAAUGACUGGGUUUACGGUAUUGGUUUUAGUUCAGUAACUUGCUCGUGUAUUUCAUGCGUUUGUGUAGUGGGGUAUAUAUACCGAGUGUAACUUGUUUUUCACCAUCUAGAGAAGACUAUUUGGCAGUACACAUUUAUUUCUCAUGUAAGAUUAUGUCACGCGAAGAAUACCCGCCUCAAGACGACCAAGACACUUCACAGCGAGAGCAAAGGGAGAGGCCUUUGAAAGACCAAGUCGUAGAUGAAUUGAAAGACUUUUUCGACACCAAAUUGAGGGAGCUGAAACGAGACUUCCAUGCGGACUCCGAGUGGGUGGCAGAAUCUACACGCAAAAAAGUAAGAUUUGACAAUAAUAUUCAUUUGAAGAACGUGGCUAAUAGGAAGCAGUUUAUGUUCAAUAACGAAAUUGCUGACGUAAUUGAUAACAUUGAGAAGGCUGUCAGUCUGAGAGAUAGUUCCAAGGCUAGAGAAUUUAUCGCUGAAGCUAGAGCUAAGAUAAAGCACCGUAACAAAAUUAUACGCAUUGCUGAUAGUUCGCCGGCCGGGUGGGCGACAAUUCAAGAGUAUGAAAUGUAUGACGUGGCCAGUGAUUCUGACGACGACCGCCGAAUCAGAAAGGCGGAGGAGAGGGCUAGAGCCAAGAUUGAGAAAUCAAAUAAGGCUUCUGAUAAUAAAUACGAUAACCCUUCUAGUGCUAGUUAUUUUCAGCAGCAGCCCUUUCGUGCUUAUAGACGCGGAACAGGACGACCUCCCAUGGCGGGAAGAUUCGAGUCUAAAAAACCCAUCGUCUGCUACAAGUGUGGCAUCGCCGGACACGUGGCUUCCGGAUGUGCCUACGACUUCAACGGCAGCACGAGACACGUGGCAGGAGACACCGGAAGUACUCCAGCAACGGUCGGGAGUGGUACAGAGUCCAAAAUGUCAGACCCUUCCUACAAACAACAAUGAAGAUAUGUUUAGUACAUCUAGAUGGGUUGAUCUGCGUCAACAAUGUGUUUCCUUAAAUAGACCAGAGCUCUUCUCAGAAGUGAAGAAUGUUGUGUUGGCCAGCAAAGAGAAGUCUACAUUAAAUAACUAUUCCAGAUAUUUCAAAAAGUUUACUGAUUGGUGUUCAGUAAGUAAGACAAAUCAUUUACCAGCUAAACCUUCUACUGUAGCGCUUUAUUUAGUUUCUAAGAUUCAGUCUGAUUCGAAAUGUGGUAAAUCCAAAUUAAAUCAGAUAUUUUAUGCUAUAAGCUGGGCGCAUGACACUGCCAGUGUUUUUAAUCCUUGCAAAGACAAUUGGCUUCAUUUAUGUUUGAACGGAUGUAUCAGAAUUGUGGCAAAGCCGGUAGUUAAAAAAGAACCGAUUACUUCGCAUAUUGUUCGGCAGUUAGUCCAACGUUUCGCUUCUGAGAACUGUCCUUUGGGCGAUUUAAGAAUUAUAACUCUGUUCGUUCUAGCUUUCGCAGGAUUCUUUAGGAUUAAUGAAGUAUUAAAUCUUAAAAGAUCUGAUUUUACAUUCUUUGAUGCUUACUGUUGCAUCUUCCUUGAAAAUCCAAAACUGAUGUCUUAAGGCAAGGCAACGAAGUUUUAAUAGCUAGAACGGGUAAAGUUACAUGUCCAGUUUGUCUUGUAGAAAGAUAUUUUCGUGUGGCAGAUAUUAGUGAUGACUCCGAUGAAUACAUUUUCAGGGCUGUGACUUUUAAUAAGAGAACUGAUUCAUGGUAGAGAAAAGAGCUGUUUGCAGAAAAUAAGUUAUGUUGAGUUUUCAGAAUGUUUCUCAGUACAGAAGUUAGCGGAGGAGUCAAAAUUCUGUAUUUAAUAUUGGAGUUUCCAGCAUUUAGCUUGGAUGCGGCAUUCCAGACUUGGAUAGCUUUCCAAAAUAUCAUUUUCGCUAUUUCGAAUAAAGUAAGUUUAUUUUAAACUAUUUAUUCGUUAAAAUUGGUAUUUAUUUGUAAUUAAUGUUUUGUAUUGGAUCCACGAUUCAGUGAUCGUCAAGUUAAGAAUAAUGCUGAUUGGUUUGCAGUAAUUAGAUUAUGUUUAGUUUUCUUUCGCGUGACUUACAGCUUAUUUAUUUAAGAAUUGUUUUAUUUGAGAUUUAUUCAGAUAAUAGUUGUUACAAAUAUUGAUACCAUUUAAGUUUAGAAGUUUAAUCAUGAAAUAUGCGAGAGAUAUAAACUGUUGAUCUUGUAUGUUAUUUGAUGUUUGUUGAGAUAUCAGACAAGUGUCGUUAGACAGGUCUGUAUGUGUCGAGAUAUCGGACAAAUGCCGUUUGGCAGGUCUGAAUGUGUUGAGAUAUCAGACAAGUGCCGUUUGGCAAGUCUGAAUGUGUUGAGAUAUCAGACAAGUGUCGUUUGACAGGUCUGAAUGUGUUGAGAUAUCAGACAAGUGUCGUUUGGCAAGUCUGGAUAUGUUGAGAUAUCAGGAAUGUGCCGUCCGGUAGAGACGUACACGUGUAUUCGAAAUCUAAUUUAAAUGUUUUGAG
rnacentral:misc_RNA from 1 species